AAGACCCAUGAUUUAACAAAGAACCUAAGAGCCAACUUCAACCCCUAAGCACAAACCUUAGUUACGGCGGGUCAUGCACCCAAGUUCUAGACCCAGAAGAAAAGAAAGCAAUAUAUGCAUCGCCGUUCUUCUACAACCGUUUUCCACUAGAGGGAAAUUGCGGUAGACUGAAGCAUUAUGCCAGGGCCACACAUGGUGAUUGCCUAUUCAAAAGACCCAUAACACUAUAACACCCUUAGAAUCUAUGUAGCAACCCUUAAGCUCAAAACCAACAACAACAAGCAUAGAGAUCAUGGAGGCCGAUCAUGCAACGGCUCAAAAAGGAAAGAAUAGCAGAAGCAGAGAUAGAGCCCUGACGUCUUACUCUCUUAUAGCUGCAAGGGCAGCCACGAAUGGUUGCUAGCAAAACUCUCAGGGUCUUUCUUUCUCAGAAACAAGCAAAUGAAGCACCAUCCUAGAGAAUCAGAGAAUAAAGGAGAGGAGGCAUAUAUGUUUUCCUAUUCUAGCCAAGAGGUCACUGGCGCCUCAAAUGCAACCGUUGACAAACCCUAGGCUCUUCCCCUUCCCUACACAGCAAACCAUUAAAAUCUAAAACUAUACAGACACUACUAAAAAGACUCUGAAAAGCACAAUCUGUCAGAAAUCUACCAAAAAACAAUUUACAGCCUACCCGAAAAUGAGGCUCCCCACUCAAUUGAUGUAAGGGAGCCGCUUGAAAUGGCAGUGACAAGCGACUGAGCUCAA
rnacentral:misc_RNA from 1 species